rnacentral:rRNA from 1 species
GUAAUGGUUUAACUUGGGUCCCCUCUUAUUUUUUAUGAAAGGAUUUCAAUCUUUUCGGACUUUGNNUCCACGGGAGGUCCUUACGGGAGGCAGCAGUGGGGAAUCUUGCGCAAGGGGGGAAAGCCUGAUCCAGCCCAGCCGCGUGUGGAAGAAGGCNUCGGUUGUAAAGUCUUUUGGCGGGAGGAAGUACUAUGGGU